rnacentral:rRNA from 1 species
AUGACAGAAAAGGUACUAAGGCACUCCUUGCUACUUAAAACCAAAUCAAGGUACAGAGCACAGCCAGGCCAACAGUUCAGCAGCAGUGCGGUACGGUCUUGCUGUUGUUGUCUAGUGCCAUGGGUAAAUGUCAAGAAGAAUGUUAUUGUAGCCAUUACAUCUGACAAGGGUCUCUGUGAUGGUAUCAAUUCUACAUCUGUUAAAGUCAGCAAAGCACUCCAGAAGAUGACUUCUGGUAAUUUGGUUCAUGGUUAUAUUUUGUUAUUUAUAUGGCUUGUACUCAGAACUAUGGCUUAUAAUUCUAGUAAUCAGGUCCAGAGAAAGAAAGCCAGUAUGUCAUCUUAG